rnacentral:rRNA from 1 species
GAUGAACGCUGGCGGCGUGCUUAACACAUGCAAGUCGAACGGAAAGGCUCCUGCUUGCAGGGGUACUCGAGUGGCGAACGGGUGAGUAACACGUGGGUGAUCUGCCCUGCACUUCGGGAUAAGCCUGGGAAACUGGGUCUAAUACCGGAUAGGACCACAUUUUGGAUGGUGUGGUGGAAAGUUUUUCGGUGUGGGAUGAGCUCGCGGCCUAUCAGCUUGUUGGUGGGGUAAUGGCCUACCAAGGCGUCGACGGGUAGCCGGCCUGAGAGGGUGUACGGCCACAUUGGGACUGAGAUACGGCCCAGACUCCUACGGGAGGCAGCAGUGGGGAAUAUUGCACAAUGGGCGCAAGCCUGAUGCAGCGACGCCGCGUGGGGGAUGACGGCCUUCGGGUUGUAAACUCCUUUCGCUAGGGACGAAGCGCUUUUGUGACGGUACCUGGAGAAGAAGCACCGGCUAACUACGUG